ensembl:lncRNA
AAAAUGAACUUAACCAACAUGCCAAGAAUUUUUCAAGGACACGUGUGUGCUUAUAUCAUGAAGCCAGAUCCCUUCGACUUUGCCCAACCAUUCGAGCUGUCUUUGAUCCUAGGAUACGACUUCCAGAAUCCUAUAACCUCUUUAGUGCUUCACUACAUGCAUCAAUAUGAAACGUGUAACAAUUUUACGAUGAUUCUUGUUAAACAGAAGCCUUUUCUACGUUAGCUCAUAAAAGUUAAUUCCCUAUUUCCUCUUCCCAAAGAAUAAAUGAUCUUUGCCCUCCUGUGGAUAAUUGGAUCAUGAAGAUGUGUUUGUGGCCCUGGUGUUCCCUGAGAAGUUUUAUUUAUCUGUGGAUUUUAUCUGAAGAAAGGCAGUCAGAGGAUGUUCUUUAGAGGCCAAGGACUUCGCUUGGGGUUUUGGAUUGGAUUCCAGAGGUUGGCACCUACGCUCUAAAAAAUCUAAACAGAAGGAGAAAAUAAAUCACCAACUGGCACUUUAAAGUGCACACACUGUAGAGAAGAACUGGAUUCUCAUUUCCAAGGUCUAUCCGGUCCUUUUCCAUCCCAGCACACUCUUGUGUCACAGAAGAUAUCUUCUCAUCUGUCCUGUGAGGAUUUUCAUUCUCCUUCUUGUAAAUGGUGACUGCAGCCAUGAAAUUAAAAGACACUUACUCCUCAGAAGAAAAGUUAUGACCAAUCUAGACAGCAUAUUAAAAAGCAGAGACAUUAUUUUGCCAACAAAGGUCCGUCUAGUCAAAGUUAUGGUUUUUGCAGUGGUCAUGUAUGGAUGUGAGAGUUAGACUGUGAAGAAAACUGAGCGCCAAAGAAUUGAUGCCUUUGAACUGUGGUGUUGGAGAAGACUCUUAAGAGUCCCUGGGACUGCAAGGAGAUCCAACCAGUCCAUCCCAAAGGAAAUCAGUCUUGAAUAUUCCUUGGAAAGACUGAUGCUGAAGCUGAAACUCCAAUACUCUGGCCACCUGAUGCGAAGAACUGACUCAUUUGAAAAGGCCCUGAUGCUGGGAAAGAUUGAAGGCACGAGGAGAAGGGGAUGACAGAGGAUGAGAUGGUUGGAUGGUAUCACUGACUCAAUGGACAUGAGUCUGAGUAAACUCUGGGAGUUGGUAAUGGAUGGGGAGACCUGGCGUGCUGCAGUCCAUGGGGUCGCAAAGAGUCAGACACAACUGAGAGACUAAACUGAACUGACUCUUGUAAAUGAACCAAGUUUUAGUUACAUCUUCUUUCUGCUGAGUUGAGUGUCUUGUGAGAAGAGAUGGAAACCACCAUGACUGUCAAGAUGUUGCUCUUUGCACAUUAUGACCCAGAGCACAAACGCUCACACAGCUUCACCAGCUUGUUCCAGUGUGAACGCUCAACUUGGGGUGCUGGUCCGGUCCUGUGCAUUCACAGCACACCCGGGGCUCACGUGUUCUAUAGGUAACUCGACUUCCUCUUUGCUACUCACAUGCUCUACACAUUCUAACUGAUCUCUGCCUAGUCCGCUCCAUGGCUACUUCCAGUCAGUCCCCAAGCCCCCCAGAAAUUUAUUUCCCUAGCUCUACCAUUUCAGACAAUAUUGAGAGAUGUUGUUGCUGUUUAAUGUGACAUAAGUAUUGUAGGGUCAGCAUAUUCCCCUGGAAGUCUUUUUGUUGGAGGCUUCAUAAUAGCUCUAAAUAUUUGAUGAUUCUUGGUGGUGUGUUUUUCUCACAUUGGAAUCUCCUUAUUAACCCAUAUUUUAAUGAGCCCCCUCCCCAUCCUCCUUCACUGCUGGAGAGGGAGGUGGGGGCCAUCCUGUUGGCCAGAUGAUGGGUGGGAGCUUUUGGCUCCCCUUGGCACCAGUAGCCCCCAGGCCUUGCCUGUGUCUCUGGCGGGGCUGUCAGUGACCCCGGUGCUGCCGCUAUGCAACACAGCUGCUCUGCGAGGGUGGGGCAGCCCUUCUCAGUCUCCCAAAUCAUCACCCUUGGCAGCCCCGGGGCUUCCUUGAUCUCAUAAGCCUGCUGCCUCAGAGCUUGGAACCCUAAAAAGAGCUUGCUGUCUGUUUUAUAACAGCACCUUCUGUCCUCACUUGGAGCAGUAUCCCUGUUUCAUCCAGUUUUAUGCCUCUUCCAUUAGGGUUCCUCAACAUUUCAGACCCACUGAGACUCACCUCUUGCUUUCCAACACUGUGGUGGAUUCUGUCUAGAUAUUGGGGCAUAGCUGGGGGCUAGGCAUCGGGGUUUCCAGCCACCUCCAGUCCUUCCAUGCACGCACCCCUGCUGUUCCCUGGGCCUGAAAUACCUUCCCCUCUUCUUGCCUUUGCCUUUGUCCCUUCAUCCUCCAACACCCAUCUCGGGAGACACAGUCUAGAAAACCUUUCCCAAUUUCUCCAGGUGAAUUUAACCUUUUGGCUCUGCGGCCUUCAAGGAACAUAGAUAUGUCUCUGCUUUUAUUUCUUUAUUUCUUGUAACUCAUCCCAUCCUACGUGAGUACAUGUAUUUGCACGUCUGUUAGAUUUGUUUUCACUAUCAGGUUGCAUGUUUCCUGAGUAAAACAGAAUGGCCUAAACAUCUUUGUUUUCUUCAUUCUAGCACAGGACCAACCCAGAAAGGAUACGCAGUAAGAAUUUACUGACACUGAAUCUGGAAGAUUUGACAUUCUCUGCCCUUCUUUCAGUCUGGAAUAAGGAGCAGUAGGCAUUUGCCAAUUUGAGUGGUCCUCCCUGAGACUGCUGAGUAGUUUGGCAUUGUGGGAAUUUGUUUCACACUAUUCUGAGUGUGCAAUCCAACCCUAAACCCUCUCACUACAGUUCCAUCCCAUUGCUAUUACUUGAAAUAAAGGGCAAGUGUGUAUGCGGGUGUGCUAAGUCAUUUCAGUUGUGUCCGACUCUGCAUGACCUCACUGACUGUAGCCCGCCAGGCUCCACUGUCCAUGGGAAUCUCCAGGCAAGAAUACUGGAGUGGAUUGUCACACCCUCCUCAAGAGGAUCUUCCUGACCCAGGGAUAGAACCCAUGUCUCUUACAUCUCCUGCAUUGGCAGGAGAGAUUCACAAGCUGCUAUGAAAGUGAUGGCUACAGGUGUCUAAAUCUGAUUGAGGAGAGAAUGUCUUGAAUGAGAAUUCCAGGAGCUUCCCUGGUGGCUCAGAUGGAAAAUAAUUUGCCUGCAAUGUGGGAGACCUGGGUUUGAUUCCUGGGUUGGGAAGAUCCUCUGGAGAAGUGACAGAGACUUGGAUUAAACUGCAUGUUUUUAAAUGAAUGAAGAAGAAUUCCUUGGACUACAGGGAGAUUAAAAAUAGCUGAGCACUGAAGAAUUGAUGCUUUUGAACUGUGGUACUGGAGAAGACUCCUGAGAGUCCCUUGGACUGCAAGGAGAUCCACCCAGUCCAUCCUAAAGGAGAUCAGUCCUGAAUAUUCACUGGAAGGACUGAUGCUGAAGCUGAAGCUCCAGUACUUUAGCCACCUGAUGUGAAGAGCUGACUCAUUAGAAAAGACCCCAAUGUUGGGAAAGGUUGAAGACAGAAGGAGAAGGGGAUGACAGAAGACCAGAUGGUUGGAUGGCAUCACCGACUCAAUGGACAUGAGUUUGAGCAAGCACCAGGAGAUGGUGAAGGACAGAGAAACCUGGCGUGCUGCAGUCCAUGGGAUCCACGGAGAAUCAGACAAGACUGAGCAACUGAACAAAAAUUAAACUCAAAUCUUGCCCGUCAACAGCUGACUUUGAACCCACAUAUUAAGAAACUUCAAAAAAGUAUUGUUCUACAUAUAAAUCCCUCUUUUUAAAACUUUUGCAACUUUUGAUGAGAGUUUUCCCCCUUCUUAAAAAAGAAACUCACCUUUGUUGAGUAUUUACUCUCUACCAAAAGUUGCAACAUUUUCCAAGUGAGAAAAGAACAUGCUGUCAUGAUCUGAUCAGUGACACUGUUACUGCUAUUCAGGUGCUGCCAGGUUCCCGGCAUCAUGUGAACCCAUGACCCAAACAUACCAUCUGUGGGACACCACUUCACAUCCCUGACAUCUUGCCACAGUGAUUUUUUUUUUUUUUUUUACUGUUUUUACCAUAACAUUGUUGACUCCCAGGAAUGAUUUACUUGUUAUGAGAAUUUUCCAGUAAAUGGUAAUAAGACGCCACGAUCUAACAAAAUUAGAAUAUUACAACAAUUUUGACAAUGGAAGUAAAGAAAUUGUUUUUAACUUAAGGAAUUAUCAUAAUCAAAUGACAGUGUCAAUCUAGCACCUAAAAUAGCCAGUGACUCUAAACAAAGAUUAGGCAAGUAAUGAACUCACGGGUGAGGACUUGCACAUGUAAAAUUUUUUUUUAAAUCCUUAUUGUGAAU